ensembl:lncRNA
GUGCAGAGCUAACAACUGGAUAAUAUAAAAGCUAAAAUAAUGGCCGUCAUUCCCACAUGUUACAGUAGAAGAUACUCUAGAACUGUACAAGGUUAAAAAAGUAACAUGUAGUUUGUCCCAAGGUGUCUGCCUCCUCACCCAGAGCCAGACCUCCACCUCCUCACCCAGAGCCAGACCUCCACCUCCUCACCCAGAGCCAGACCUCCACCUCCUGUCAGAAGUCCUCCAGAACAGCUGAAAGGGGAGGCUGAGAGGCUGGGGUCCGGAGGCUUGUGGUGCCAGGGUGGACCGGAGACUGAGGCUGGAGACCAGGGGCCUGCAGCACCGGACCAGAGGGUAACCAUCACCAAGCUCAUCUGAAACACUAAAAUCCACGACCAGGAAUCCAUGGCUGAAGGAGGUGAUGGAGGAGCCGUGCUGAUGGAGGAGCCCUGCUGAAGGCCCUGGGCUGGUGGAGGAGCUGGUGGAGGGCCUGCCUGGUGAAUGACGUCUGUCGUGGGGUAGAUGGAGCUUGACUCUGAAACCAGGACUCUGUCUGAGGAGAGCUGCUGGAGGAGCUGAGAUGCUGGAGGACGACUAGGAAUCGACCAACAAGGAUUCCUCAACGUGUUUCUGGAGCGGAGGCGAGCUGGUAGGGGAGCCGUGAAUCUGGAGGAUGACCAUCACUCUACCAGGGAUUACUUUAGGGCCAGACUCGCGCUGUUUGUUCCAGACCAGGACUCUGGCUCAGGAGAGCUGAUGGUGGUGCCAAGACUCUGGAGGACGGCAUCAAUCCACCAACCAGGAUCCUC